CUCCCUGGCCCUUUGAGCCAAAUGGAGAGCGUGACUGUGAAAGAUGCCAACCCCGAAGAGACAGGAAGACCACAGUCUGAAAUAUUCUUUGAAUCCCCGGAUCCAGCCAUGCCUGAAGCUAUGCACACCUGGAUUUUUCAGGAAUGGAAGUUUAUUUCUCCACCUCUUCAAUCUGGGUUGGCCAAUGGACUUGCUCUGGCCAAUCGAAACACUAACAAAGAGUAGACACACAGAGGCUUUUGAAUUGCUUGCCCAUAAGGUCUUUCUCUUUUUUGCUGAACUUGGAGACAUGGAAUGAGUCUGAGCUGGCUUGAUGGAAGGUCAGAGACCAUAUGGAAAAGAAUGAAGGUGCUCCAGCUGAUAGCUUGCCGAAUAUCAAAUGUGUGAGUGAAACCAUCCUUAAAUCAUCCAGCUGUAAUCUGCAAUACUAGUGGACCCUAGACUCAGGAGAGAUGACCUGAGCUAGACUAGACCCGAUCAAUUGCACAGACAGCCAUUAGAAUUGUGAGCUAAAUAAAUGGCUAUUUACCACCCAAUUUGUAUUUUGAGCAAAAGCUGAUGGAGAUAGCUCUAUGAACUUCUACACAGAUGUACACCCAUGUAACCACCAGCCAAAUCAAGACAAAGAACAUUUCUAGCAUCCAAUAAAGUCUUUGUUUCCUUUUCCAGUCAAUCUCCCAACCCUGAGAGAUGUUCAUUGUUCUAUAAUAUCACUAUAGACUUGUUCAUAUUAAUGGGAAUGUAAAGGAUGUGUCUUUUGUGGCAGAUGUUUUUUGUUGACCCUGUCUGUGAUAUUCAUAUAUGUUCUAUAUAUGUCUAAUAUAUGAUGUUUUAUAUAUAUAUCUACAUAUAUAUGUAGUUUGUUUAUUUUUGAAAAAUUCUGUGUAUUUCAA
rnacentral:lncRNA from 10 species